rnacentral:rRNA from 1 species
GGGGGGGCAAGCGUUUGUUCGGAAUUACUGGGCGUAAAGGGCGCGCAGGCGGGCGGGAAAGUCUCUCGUGAAAUCCCACGGCUCAACCGUGGAACUGCGGGAGAUACUACUCGUCUUGAGUUCGGGAGAGGAGUGUGGAAUUCCCAGUGUGGCGGUGAAAUGCGUAGAUAUUGGGAGGAACACCGGUGGCGAAGGCGGCACUCUGGACCGAUACUGACGCUGAGGCGCGAAAGCUAGGGGAGCAAACGGGAUUAGAUACCCCGGGUAGUCCUAGCUGUAAACGCUGAGCACUUGGUGUAGCGGGUAUCGACCCCCCUGCUGUGCCGAAGCUAACGCAUUAAGUGCUCCGCCUGGGGGAGUACGGUCGCAUGGCUG